rnacentral:rRNA from 1 species
GACGAACGCUGGCGGCGUGCUUAACACAUGCCAGUCGAACGGAAAGGCCCUGCUUGCAGGGUGCUCGAGUGUCGAACGGGUGAGUAACACAUGUGUGAACUGCCCUCCACUUCUGGAUAAGCCUUGGAAACUGUGUCUAAUAUCGGGUAGGAGCCCUCCUUCGUGUGAUGGUUGGAUAGUUUUUUGGGUGUAGUGUGAGCUCGCGGCCUAUCAGUCUGUUGGUGGGGUAGUGGCUUACCAAGGCGGCGACGGGUAGCCGGCCUGAGAGGGUGGACGGCCACAUUGGGGCUGAGAGACGGCCCAGACACCUCCGGGGGGCAGAGGUGGGGAAUAUUGCACAAUGGGGGCGAGAGUGAGGCAGAGACGCCGCGUGGGGGAUGACGGGCUUCGGGUUGUGAACUCCGUUCGCGAGGGACGAAGCUUGUUGGGACGGUAACUAGAUAAGAAACAACGGCUAACUUCGGG